rnacentral:rRNA from 1 species
GAUGAACGCUGGCGGCGUGCCUAAUACAUGCAAGUCGAGCGAACAGAUGAGGAGCUUGCUCCUCUGACGUUAGCGGCGGACGGGUGAGUAACACGUGGAUAACCUACCUAUAAGACUGGGAUAACUUCGGGAAACCGGAGCUAAUACCGGAUAAUAUAUUGAACCGCAUGGUUCAAUAGUGGAAGACGGUUUUGCUGUCACUUAUAGAUGGAUCCACGCCGCAUUAGCUAGUUGGUAAGGUAACGGCUUACCAAGGCAACGAUGCGUAGCCGACCUGAGAGGGUGAUCGGCCACACUGGAACUGAGACACGGUCCAGACUCCUACGGGAGGCAGCAGUAGGGAAUCUUCCGCAAUGGGCGAAAGCCUGACGGAGCAACGCCGCGUGAGUGAUGAAGGUCUUCGGAUCGUAAAACUCUGUUAGUAGGGAAGAACAAAUGUGUAAGUAACUAUGCACGUCUUGACGGUACCUAAUCAGAAAGCAACGGCUAACUACGUG